rnacentral:lncRNA from 1 species
AUGCCCAGAGGAAGGGGAGCAACAUGCAGGGCAGGAGGUGCCAGUAAGAAGGGCUUCCCAACCCCGAUGGGGAUGCCCACGCCUUGGAGCACCCACUGCCCUGUGCAGCACACAGGAGCAAGCUCCUCUUCUCCCACCCAGCUGUGCUGUGCAAGACUUGGCCUUCCACAAGGGAGCUGUGAUGCCCACAUCUUCCCAGCUAUGCCAACAGCAGCCUUCACCUCUCCAGAGCCCAACCAAGGCAGCUCCUCCACGUGGUGCCAGCAGGGAGAUCCCUGUGCUGCUCCAGCUGCAGCCCACAGCAAGCAGGUCCCCUGCUCACAGCAAGGAGAGGUCAGAGCUCUUUCUGUGCAAGCGCCGAGCGAGCAGCACGGGCACCCGACAUCUGCUGAUGGAUCCCGGGCCGGCACGCGAGAAAACGGCGGAUGGAAACAUGGAGCACAGAAUCCCUCCGUGGUGGAUCUGGCUAAGGGCAAGAUUGGGGGAACUGCCAUCAAAUUCAUGAUUUUUCUUCUGAGAUCAGCUUGGAAUUAAGCAUCUGAGGUGCUGUGUUUAAACCCGAACCUUUACACAUCCCUUCCCACUCCCCCCCGCCCCAGCACUGUGCUGCACAAACCCCAAGUUUCUUUGGAAGCAUUAUUUUAAGGAUAAGAUUUAAAGGACUCCUUUCAUAAAUAAUUGUGCUAUUAGGUUAUUUUUCUUUUAAUUUCCACAAAGGUGUUUUUUGUGCCUUGAGGACUAGAUCGAGAAGAGCUUUGGAGAAUGCUGUGAAGGCAGCCUGACUGAUAUUGCCAAUCAGCUCACACCUCUUCUUCCCGCCAGCCUCACGCUCGGCUGCCAAGCCUGUCCCAUGGCUUCCCGGGCAAUUAGUGCUUACAACACACAUCCACACAGCCAGCAGAACCACUCCAGCUUUCCAUGUGUCCUUGAUAACUUCCUGUGCUUUUUUAACACUUUGGUAGUAAUGAAAUGGCUGAUGAUAAUGACAAGCAUAAAAUCCCAGAGUGCAAGACCCAGAAACAUGUUUUUCUUCUAAGCAGCUGGUGUCGCUUGGUGGGACAGGUCUGAAUGGGUGAGCUUCACUCUGUAUGCCAAGCCCCCAUGCUCUUGGUAAUCAGACUGGCAUUAACUGGCUUCUUAGUGUGCACCUAGGGUGGUGUUUGCUUAGUUGGCUGGUUAUGGUAACUGAAAACCAGUCCAAAUCACUUCAGCCUUAGGUUUCCAGACCUUACUCCUUUAUUUCUAGAGCUUGUGUCUGAUUUUUUCUGUUUUCCAUGGACACAAAGCUCCACUGGGCUACCAUGACCUCUAGCACGUAGCUGUUCUUUCUUCUCAGCUCCCAGGACGCUCCUCAGCUUGACCUAAGGGAGGAGCAGCCUGAGCUGGUCUGGGACAGUGCUGGUGUGCAACAGGAACAGCAGGGACGAGGGGAGCUCACAGAGGGCAACACAGCAGCUGAUCCAGUGUGAAUUUCAAAGCUUUGCUCUUGAAAUGUUAAAAGACAAAGUUUAAGCAAGGCACUUUCCAUGACAAA